rnacentral:snoRNA from 1 species
AACCCAUGGUGAGGGCAUAUUCUCAAAAGGUCAUUGUAUCUCUCCCAUACAUCGUAAAGUGUUUCUAAGUCCAUCUGCACAAACGAAGACAUAUCAUUACGUAAUUU